GGAUCCAUAAGCUCUAAAUGGUAAGAGCGCUCACUAAAUGAGAGGACGGUUGAUGGUUCGAAUCCAUUUGGAUCCA